UACGAAGGGGGCGAGCGUUGUUCGGAUUUACUGGGCGUAAAGGGCGCGCAGGCGGUCUUGAAAGUCAGGCGUGAAAGCCCCGGGCUCAACCUGGGAAUUGCAUUUGAGACUGCGUAGCUAGGGUGCGGAAGAGGGAAGCGGAAUUUCCGGUGUAGCGGUGAAAUGCGUAGAUAUCGGAAGGAACACCAGUGGCGAAAGCGGCUUCCUGGUCCAGCACCGACAUUCAGGCACGAAAGCGUGGGGAGCAAACAGG
rnacentral:rRNA from 1 species